UGCUUUAAUGAUUUUAAGUAAUUUCCGCCAAUUGGUAUAAUUAAAAGGCCGUUUUCACGCUAAGGUAGCGUAAUCAAAAGUUUAUUAAUUGUAAACCAGCAUGAAAGAAAAAUUAUAGCUUAAUUAUUUUUCUAUGAAAAAGAGAAAUUAAAAAAAUAAAAAAAAUAUUUUUACUUUGUAAGACGAGAAGACCCUAAAAGCUAAUUGAAAACAAUUUUUUGGGGAAAAUAGUUAAAAAAGUCUUAAACUUAAAUAAAAUAGUAACAAAAAAAUAAGCUACUUUAGGGAUAACAGGGCAAUAAAAAUUUAAAGACCUUAUUUAAAUUGAAGAUUGCUACCUCGAUGUUGGAUUUCUUUAUCGGACCCCUGCAGGAGGGGGCAGCGAGUAGACUGUUCGUCUUUUAAAUUAUUA
rnacentral:rRNA from 1 species